ACAGGAACAUUACUGCGUCGCAUAUGCUGUCAAUGACGCAGUGGGAAUAUUUGGAGAUUUCGGUUUCACAAGAGAAGGGGGCAGUGAAAGUGAAAGCAUGAGCAUCUCAUCAGCAUCGUCACCCUGAAAAAGGAGGAGAGUUUUGUAUUGCAUGGGAUCCCCGGAAAUUGCUGCAACGGGAAUGACGAUGGCUUGGUUGGUUGUAGACGGAAUGUGAUUGAUUGCACUUGCACACAGAGUCGAGUCCUAGAAAAGAGGCCUUUCUUUGGGUGUUGAGCAGAUAAACAAAGGGGAAACACGAACUCUUGUCUGCAUUGUUUGAAAUAAGAAAUGCUGCUAUUUGAUUGAUGGACAUGUGAGUUAGUAAGGCCCAUUGGUCGCACUCUUUUACCCUUCGGGUUAUGUGGGUUGGGCCUCCAAACGUGUCUUCUUGUUUUUAAAUUUUUUACAGCAGUUUCAAAAUGUCUUGUCUUGUGUGUACGUGUACAAGCAAAGAAAGAAGAAACCUCGGUCAUGAAAACGCUCUCUGAAAUAUGUUUUUUUUAUUUUAUUUUAUUUUGAACUUC